rnacentral:lncRNA from 1 species
AUGCAGAGUCCUCGUGGGCUGUGUCUCAUAAUGCACACUCUCUGAGAGGAGUUACAUGCUGCUACGUGCUGUGGCAAAUGGCAUUUAGACCAGGAGUUUCUAAAAAGCAAAGAAAGCGUGGAUUUGUCACGCUGCUGGUACCCGCGGGUAUGCCAUCAGCCCGGACGAUAACCAGGAUUUCUCACAGGACCAGAGCUGGUGAAGGACGCAAGGGAGAGCAGCUGCCUCGUACGGGGUGGGUGCGGUGUCAGGAGAGCUGGGACGCUUUGUCGGAAACUUUCAUGGCAUUUCUCGACAGAGGAGAAAGCAAGGAGAGUCUCACUGCCUAA